GCAGUCGCCGCGGUAAUACGUAGGGCGCAAGCGUUAUCCGGAAUUAUUGGGCGUAAAGAGCUCGUAGGCGGUUUGUCGCGUCUGCCGUGAAAGUCCGGGGCUCAACCCCGGAUCUGCGGUGGGUACGGGCAGACUAGAGUGAUGUAGGGGAGACUGGAAUUCCUGGUGUAGCGGUGAAAUGCGCAGAUAUCAGGAGGAACACCGAUGGCGAAGGCAGGUCUCUGGGCAUUAACUGACGCUGAGGAGCGAAAGCAUGGGGAGCGAACAGGAUUAGAUACCCCAGUAGUCCCUGUCUCUUAUAC
rnacentral:rRNA from 1 species